AGGAGUUUGCAUACAUGCCUGUAAUCCACUUUGGAAUUCUAAGAACAUUCAUCACAACUAAAAAAUAGGUGACAGUGAAUUUGAUUUACUACCUUACUACCUUCUGACUGGAGUACGCUGCCAACUAAAGCAGGCUGAUACUGCCAAGAUCUCAGCUGUAACAGUCACUGAUGGUGUUUCAGAGAACCAGUAGCAGAAUAAGAAAUGGGGCAACUGAAGAAAUGAUUGACAGCAACUCACCUUGAAGAAGUAUAGAUCGACCACUACCACUGUUUGAGUGCUCAGAUUGGCAGCAUUGUACCAACAUCUUCAUCAUCUCUGUGUGGCGGGAGUGCUGCUCUUGGCAAAAUGGCUGACACCACAACGUUUUAUCAAAAAAACAGAAGAAAUGGGUGUCAACUUGGCAAGACAGACACAAAGAAAACUUUGCAGAGAGAAAGCAAUU